CCUACGGGAGGCAGCAGUGGGGAAUAUUGCACAAUGGGGGAAACCCUGAUGCAGCGACGCCGCGUGAGUGAAGAAGGCCUUCGUUAUGUAAAGCUCUAUCAGCAGGGAAGAAAAUUACGGUACCUGAGUAAGAAGCCCCGGCUAACUACGUGCCAGCAGCCGCGGUCAUACGUAGGGGGCACGCGUUAGCCGGAUUUACUGGGUGUAACGGGAGCGUAGACGGCAGUGCAAGACUGGAGUGAAAGGCGGGGGCUCAACCCCCGGACUGCUCUGGAGACUGUACGACUGGAGUGCAGGAGAGGUGAGUGGAAUUCCUAGUGUAGCGGUGAAAUGCGUAGAUAUUAGGAGGAACACCAGUGGCGAAGGCGGCUUACUGGACUGUAACUGACGUUGAGGCUCGAAAGCGUGGGGAGCAAACAGGAUUAGAUACCCGGGUAGUC
rnacentral:rRNA from 1 species